rnacentral:rRNA from 1 species
GAUGAACGCUGACAGAAUGCUUAACACAUGCAAGUCAACUUGAAUUUGGGUUUUUAACUUAGGUUUGGGUGGCGGACGGGUGAGUAACGCGUAAAGAACUUGCCUCACAGCUAGGGACAACAUCUGGAAACGAAUGCCAAUACCUAAUAUUAUGAUAAUAGGGCAUCCUAUAAUUAUGAAAGCUAUAAGCGCUGUGAGAGAGCUUUGCGUCCCAUUAGCUAGUUGGAGAGGUAACGGCUCACCAAGGCGAUGAUGGGUAGCCGGCCUGAGAGGGUGAUCGGCCACAAGGGGACUGAGACACGGCCCUUACUCCUACGGGAGGCAACAGUGGGGAAUAUUGGACAAUGGACCGAGAGUCUGAUCCAGCAAUUCUGUGUGCACGAUGAAGUUUUUCGGAAUGUAAAGUGCUUUCAGUUGGGAAGAAACAAAUGACGGUACCAACAGAAGAAGUGACGGCUAAAUACGUG